CACACACACAGUGCUGAGUCCAUACACACAUACAGACUGCUGAGUCCAUACACACAGACAGACUGCUGAGUCUAUACACACACAGUGCUGAGUCCAUACACACAGACAGACUGCUGAGUCCAUACACACAGACAGACUGCUGAGUCAAUACACACACACUGCUGAGUUUAUACACACACACAUUGCUGAGACCAUACACACACACU